rnacentral:rRNA from 1 species
AAUCAACGCUGGCGGCGUGCCUAACACAUGCAAGUCGAACGAGAAGGUGACUUCGGUCACUGGAUAGCGGCGUCCGGGUGAGUAACACGUAGGUAAUCUACCUUCGGGUGGGGAUAACGUCUCGAAGAGACGCUAAUACCGCAUAAUGCAGCGGCACCUAAUGGUGAUUAGUUGUUAAAGCGGGGGAGUCUUCGGACCUCGCGCCUGAAGAGGAGCCUGCGGC